rnacentral:rRNA from 1 species
AUUGAACGCUGGCGGCAGGCCUAACACAUGCAAGUCGAGCGAGCGGCGGACGGGUGAGUAAUGUCUGGGAAACUGCCUGAUGGAGGGGGAUAUCUACUGGAAACGGUAGCUAAUACCGCAUACCAUCAGAUGUGCCCAGAUGGGAUUAGCUAGUAGGGGUGGUAACGGCCAACCUAGGCGACGAUCCCUCGCUGGUUUGAGAGGAUGACCAGCCACACUGGAACUGAGACACGGUCCAGACUCCUACGGGAGGCAGCAGUGGGGAAUAUUGCACAAUGGGCGCAAGCCUGAUGCAGCCAUGCCGCGUGUGUGAAGAAGGCCUUCGGGUUGUAAAGCACUUUCAGCGGGGAGGCGUUACCCGCAGAAGAAGCACCGGCUAACUCCGUGCCAGCAGCCGCGGUAAUUC